rnacentral:rRNA from 1 species
GAAAAGAAACUAACAAGGAUUCCCCUAGUAGCGGCGAGCGAAGCGGGAAGAGCCCGGGAUGAAAAUCUCUUCGGAGAGUUGUAGUCUGAGCUCCCUUGGGCGGUCAGUGUGGGUAAAUUGUCUGGGAUGACGUGCCAUGGAGGGUGAGAGCCCCGUCCAGCCCACACAGGACCCGCCCGUACGAGGGCGCUUCAACCGAGUCGGGUAGCUUGGGAAUGCUGCUCCAAAUGGUGGUAAAUCUCAUCAAAGGCUAAAUAACGGUGGGAGACCGAUAGCGAACAAGUACCGUGAGGGAAAGAUGGAAAGAACUUUGAAAAGAGAGUGAAAAGCGCUUGAAACCGUCACGGGGGAAGCGGAUUGCGUGAGUGAUGGCGUGCAUUGUUCAGCUCAAAAGUAGAGUGUAUUCUGUGCACGCCGGGCGUGUGUGGCUGGGGUGCGUGCGAAUUUGGCAUGCGUUCCUGGUGAGGGCUCCCUGCUGGUCAGGUGAGGACACACGCGAAAUGACGCAAUACGACCCGUCUUGAAACACGGACCAAGGAGUCUAGCACGGCUGCGAGUCGAAGGGUGUUAAAACCCAGAGGGCGCAGUGAAAGCGAAAGAAAGCAAAUUGGGGAGGCGUUGCGGUUUUACCAAAAUGUCCUACCUCGAGCACCUGUGCUGGGACCCGAAAGAUGGUGAACUAUGCCGGAGUAGGGCAAAGCCAGAGGAAACUCUGGUGGAGGCUCGUAGCGAUGCUGACGUGCAAAUCGCUCGUCGAACUUGGGUAUAGGGGCGAAAGACUAAUCGAACCAUCUAGUAGCUGGUUCCCUCCGAAGUUUCUCUCAGGAUAGCGGGCCGACGACAUGUUGUUUUGUGCGGUAAAGCGAAUGAUUAGUGCAUUUGGGGGCCGAAGGUCUUCAGGCGAUUCUCAAACUUUAAAUGCGCAAGGGGGCGGCUGCUUAAUUGAGCCUGCUCUUUGAAAAACGUCGGCCCUGUGGGCCACUUUUGGUAAGCAGAACUGGCGAUAAGGGAUGAACCUUAAGCGCGGUUAAGGCGCCGCAUUGCCCGCUUAUAGACCCCACAAAAGGUGUUGAUUCAUCCAGACAGCAGGACGGUGGCCAUGGAAGUCGGAAUCCGCUAAGGAGUGUGUAACAACUCACCUGCCGAAUGAAUUAGCCCUGAAAAUGGAUGGCGCUGAAGCGGGCAGCCGACACCGCGCCGUUCAGGCGAGACGAAGCCUGGAUGAGUAGGAGGGCGUGGCGGUCAGUGACGCAGGCGUGGGUGCAGACCCCGCUGAAACGGCCGCUAGUGCAGAUCUUGGUGGUAGUAGCAAAUAUUCAAGCGAGAUCCUUGAAGGGCGAAGCGGGGAAGGGUUCCACGCGAACAUUGAUUGGGCGUGGGUGAGUC